rnacentral:rRNA from 1 species
AUCUAUUACUUACCUAAAAUUUUAAAUAAUUUAAAGCAAGGUUGGGCCUGGUUAGUACUUGGAUGGGAGACCACCUGGGAAGACCAGGUGCUGUAGGCG